UACAGAGGUGGCAAGCGUUGUUCGGAAUUACUGGGCGUAAAGGGCGCGUAGGCGGUUCGUCAAGUCCUGUGUGAAAUCCCCCGGCUCAACUGGGGAACUGCACAGGAAACUAGCGGGCUUGAGUUCGUGAGAGGGAAGCGGAAUUCCGGGUGUAGCGGUGAAAUGCGUAGAUAUCCGGAGGAACACCGGUGGCGAAGGCGGCUUCCUGGACCGACACUGACGCUGAGGCGCGAAAGCUAGGGGAGCAAACGGG
rnacentral:rRNA from 1 species